rnacentral:rRNA from 1 species
GUGGAUUAGAUACCCUGGUAGUCCACACCGUAAACGAUGAUUACUAGAUUUUGGCCUUAUGGUCAGAGUCCAAGCGAAAGUGUUUAGUAAUCCACCUGGGGAGUACGUCCGCAAGGAUGAAACUCAAAGGAAUUGACGGGGGCCCGCACAAGCGGUGGAGCAUGUGGUUUAAUUCGAUGAUACGCGAGGAACCUUACCUGGGCUUGAAAGUUAGUGACCGAUCCUGAAAGGGAUCCUUCCGCAAGGACACGAAACUAGGUGCUGCACGGUUGUCGUCAACU